AGUGCAGAGAGCGAGGGGAUAAAAGGAGGCUGUGUCUCUCCCUCGCCCUCUCACUUCCUGGCUCGAAGGCCCUCCCACUUCCUGGCCUUUCACUUCAUCCUGUACUCUCCAUGCGGUGGUCCAUGGUGGCUAAGAUGAUUGUGAUGAGCUCCAUUGUUUUGCCAUAAGCAAGUAAAGCACUCAGCGGAUCCUGAACACAUCACUGGCGAAACACAGAUGCUCCAGUUAGGUGCAGAGCCUCGUCGUCUUUCUCCUCACUGGGAGGACGCUUCCUGAUCGGGACCUGUGGCUGAACUCUGGACAUCGCUGAGAGCCAACGGUGGUGGCAGUGUUGUGUGAUCCUGGAUUUUGGUUUUCUUUGCACUUCAGUUUUUUGCUGUAUGCCACGUACGAGUGGGGUGCUCCUUAUUUAAUUUGGACUUCCUUCCCCCAGUUUUCCCCUCACUGCUGGCAAGCCUCAGCACUGGAGCAGAGUGUUAGCACUUUAGUUCUCUUUUAAGUCAUUUUUAACAUAUUGUGACCAACUAAAUAAAUUUGUUAAAUAUUUGUUAAACAUUGAA